rnacentral:rRNA from 1 species
UACAGAGGUCCCAAGCGUUGUUCGGAAUUACUGGGCGUAAAGGGCGCGUAGGCGGUUCGCUAAGUCGGAUGUGAAAACUCUGGGCUCAACCCAGAGCCUGCAUCCGAAACUGGCGGGCUAGAGUUCUGGAGGGGGUAGCGGAAUUCCUGGUGUAGCGGUGAAAUGCGUAGAUAUCAGGAGGAACACCGGUGGCGAAGGCGGCUACCUGGACAGAAACUGACGCUGAGGCGCGAAAGCUAGGGGAGCAAACAGG